rnacentral:rRNA from 1 species
GGAGUUAGCCGGUGCUUCUUCUGUGAGUGAUGUCCUUCCUGCCGGCUAUUAACCCGCAGGCCUUCUUCCUCACUGAAAGUGCUUUACAACCCGAAGGCCUUCUUCACACACGCGGCAUGGCUGGAUCAGGGUUGCCCCCAUUGUCCAAUAUUCCCCACUGUUGCCUCCCGUAGGAGUCUGGGCCGUGUCUCAGUCCCAGUGUGGCUGAUCAUCCUCUCAGACCAGCUACGGAUCGUCGCCUUGGUGAGCCGUUACCUCACCAACCAGCUAAUCCGACAUAGGCUCAUCCGAUAGCGCGAGGCCCGAAGGUCCCCCGCUUUCCCCCGUAGGGCGUAUGCGGUAUUAGCCUGGGUUUCCCCAGGUUAUCCCCCACUACCGGGCAGAUUCCUAUGCAUUACUCACCCGUCCGCCGCUCGCCACCAGGGAGCAAGCUCCCCGUGCUGCCGCUCGACUUGCAUGUGUUAGGCCUGCCGCCAGCGUUCAAUCUGAGCCAUAAUCAAACUCUGA